GUGGCCGUAGUGAGUGAAGUGGAAAGCGGAGUCUGCCUGCAGCCUGCCUGCCUGGGAAUCCCGUUAAACCACAUCAGCGGCCACUGCCAUGGCUGAACGCCGCGCCUUCGCCCAAAAAAUCAGCAGGACUGUGGCAGCAGAGGUCAGGAAGCAGAUAGCAGGCCAGUAUGGGGGCUCCCCACAACUCUUCAAAAACCUCAACGCGGGCACCGCUACAACCAACACGGUGCCCCUCACAGAGGCAGUGGAGCCCGUGGAUUUUGAGGAGUACCUCAUCACUCACCCUCCCAUCGUUGAGUCGGGUCCUCUGAGGGAUCUGAUUGAGUUUCCCCCAGAUGAUAUUGAGGUCAUCUACACGCCCAGGGAGUGCCGCACAGUGGCACAAGCCGUCCCAGAGGAGGGGGACACUGAUGUUCAUGUAAGGGACUGCGUCAGAUCCUACACAGAAGACUGGGCCAUCGUCAACAGAAAAUACCACAAGCUAGGUACGGGCUUUAACCCCAACACUCUGGACAAACAGAAGGAGCGUCAGAAAGGCCUUCCCAAACAAGUGUUUGAGGCUGAUGAGAUGCCAGACAACAGCAGCUACCAGGAUGACCAGGAUGAUCUGAAGCGACGGUCCAUGUCUAUAGAUGACACUCCACGUGGCAGCUGGGCCUGCAGCAUCUUUGACUUGAAAAACUCUCUCCCUGAUGCCCUCCUUCCUCACCUCCUCGACCGAGCCCCCAACGAGGAGAUCGACAGACACAACGAAGAGCAACGCAAAUCCAACCGCCACAGAGAACUCUUUGCUCUGCACCCAGCUCUUGAUGAGGAGGAGCCCAUUGAGCGCCACUGUGUGCCUGAAGUACCUAAAGAACACUUUGGCCAGAGGCUACUCGUCAAGUGCUUGUCCUUGAAGUUUGAGAUCGAAAUUGAACCCAUAUUUGCUAGUUUGGCCUUAUACGAUGUCAAGGAAAAGAAAAAGAUAUCAGAGAACUUUUUCUUCGACUUAAACUCUGAGCAAACGAAGGGGAUGCUUCGUCCGCAUAUUCAGACAGCAGCCAUCUCCACGUUGGCACGCUCUGCCAUAUUCUCCAUCACGUAUCCCUCCCAGGAUGUCUUCCUUGUCAUUAAGCUGGAAAAGGUACUACAGCAAGGUGACAUUGGAGAGUGUGCUGAGCCCUACAUGGUUUUUAAAGAGUCAGAUGCUGCCAAGAAUAAAGAGAAGCUGGAGAAGCUCCGCGGACAGUCAGAGCAGUUCUGCCAACGUCUUGGACGCUAUCGCAUGCCUUUUGCCUGGACGGCCAUUCACCUGAUGAACAUUGUGAACAGCGCUGGCAGUCUUGAGAGAGACACGGAGCUGGAGAUGAGCCUCUCAGAGAGAAAGGGUUCAUGGUCAGAAAGGAGGAACUCAAGCAUUAUGGGAAGGCGUUCUCUGGAAAGAACCACCAGUGGAGACGAGUCAUGCAGUCUGACAGGCUUUAGACCUGCGACACUCACUAUCACCAACUUCUUUAAACAGGAGGGAGACAGACUGAGUGAUGAGGAUCUGUUUAAGUUUCUAGCUGAUAUGAGAAGACCUUCUUCAGUGCUGAGGAGACUCAGACCCAUCACAGCCCAGUUAAAGUUGGACAUAUCUCCAGCUCCAGAGAACCCCCACUAUUGCUUGACCCCUGACCUUAUGCAAGUCAAACCUUACCCAGACAGCAGAGUACGCCCAACCAGGGACAUCCUGGAGUUUCCUGCCAGGGAUGUCUAUGUGCCAAACACCACAUACAGGAAUCUGCUGUAUGUGAACCCUCAGAGUCUCAACUUUGCCAACCGACAAGGCUCCGCCCGCAACAUCACAGUCAAAGUGCAAUUUAUGAAUGGAGAGGAUCCCAACAAUGCAAUGCCGGUGAUAUUCGGGAAGUCCAGCUGUGCAGAUUUCUACAAAGAAGCCUACACUUCUGUGGUCUACCAUAACAGAUCCCCUGAUUUUCAUGAUGAAGUCAAGAUCAAACUGCCUGCCUCCCUGUCGGACCACCACCACAUUCUCUUCACCUUUUACCACGUCAGUUGUCAGCAGAAGCAGAACACACCGCUGGAGACCCCUGUGGGGUACACGUGGAUCCCCAUGCUGCAGAACGGACGUCUACGGACAGGACACUUCUGUCUGCCCGUCUCUCUGGAAAAACCACCACAGUCCUACUCUGUUCUCUCACCAGAUGUUCCUCUCCCUGGGAUGAAGUGGGUUGACAACCAUCGAGGAGUAUUUAAUGUAGAAGUGGUGACUGUUUCAACCAUCCACACACAGGACCAGUACUUGGAUAAGUUCUUUGCCUUGGUUCACGCCCUGGAUGAGCACAUGUUCCCGGUCAGGAUAGGAGACAUGCGUAUCAUGGAGAACAACUUAGAGACUGAGCUCAAAUCCAGUAUUGCAGCGCUCAACUCUUCCCAGCUUGAACCGGUCGUCCGGUUCCUUCACCUUCUGCUCGACAAGUUGGUGCUGCUUGUUGUGCGGCCACCAGUCAUUGCUGGACAGAUAGUGAAUCUGGGCCAGGCAUCCUUUGAGGUCAUGGCAUCCAUUGUGAACCGGCUUCAUAAGUACUUGGACACUAGCCAGGACAUGCAUGGCCGCAACGGCCUGCUGUCUUCCUACAUCCACUACGUCUUCCGGCUGCCCAGUGCAGACCCCAACUCCCCGUCCCCAGGCCCUGGAGGGUUGGGAGGUUCAGUUCACUAUGCCACUAUGGCUCGUUCAGCGGUACGACCAGCGAGCCUCAACCUCAACCGCUCCCGUAGCCUCAGCAACAGUAACCCUGACAUCUCUGGCACGCCCACUUCCCCUGAUGACGAGGUCCGCGCCAUCAUCGGCAGCAAGGCCAUGGAGCGCUGUGGCAAUCGCAUGUCUUCGCACACUGAGAGCGCCAGUUUCUUGCAAACUUUAACAGGACGGUUGCCCACAAAAAAGCUCUUCCACGAGGAGCUGGCCCUCCAGUGGGUGGUGAGCAGUGGAAGCGUCAGGGAGGGUGCUCUACAACAAGCCUGGUUUUUCUUUGAACUCAUGGUCAAGAGCAUAAUCCACCACCUUUACUUCACUGAGCGCUUAGACUCCCCCAGGAAGAACCGUUUCCCAGAGCGCUUCAUGGAUGACAUCACAGCCUUGGUCAGCACCAUCGCUGGUGACAUUGUGUCUCGCUUCCAGAAGGACCUCGAGUUGGUGGAAAGACUAAACACUAGUUUGGCCUUCUUCCUCAACGACUUGCUCUCAGUGAUGGACCGAGGUUUUGUCUUCACCCUGAUCAGAGCGUACUGGAAACAGGUGUCCACAAAGAUCUAUGCUCUGCAGAACCCAACCCUGGAGUCUCUGAGGCUCGAUUUCUUGAGAAUUGUUUGCAGCCAUGAACACUACGUCACCCUCAACCUGCCCUGCAGUCUACUCACCCCGCCUGCCUCACCUUCCCCAUCAGUGUCUUCAGCAACUUCACAGAGCUCCGGGUUCUCAACACAUGUCCAGGACCAAAAGAUAGCCAACAUGUUUGAGCUGUCGGUCCCCUUCAGAGAGCAACACUUUCUAGCUGGGCUGGUUCUAUCUGAACUCUCUGUGACUCUGGACCCAGAUAAUGAGGGGAUGUUUGGCCUACAUAAGAAAGUUGUGAGUGUUGUUCACAACCUCCUGUCCAGCCAUGACUCGGACCCACGCUACGCUGAUCCUGAGGUCAAGGCCCGAGUGGCCAUGCUUUACCUUCCACUCAUUGGCAUCGUAAUGGAAACACUACCACAGCUCCAUGACUUCACAGAGUCCCAUAACCAGUGGGGUCGGCCAGGUGGUCCACAGGGGACAGCGAUGGGCAGCGGUGGAGAGGAGGCAGAGGGUGACGGUAACAGCUUGAUAAGUCAGACUGUUGCAAUGGCCAUCGCAGGCACCUCCACUUCUUCCCCGAUGUCCCGACCAAGCAGCUUCUUGCUCAACUCGCAGGCGAGUCGUCAGCAUGGAAGCUUCUCAGCGGAGUCGAGUCGCAGUCUGCUCAUCUGUCUGCUGUGGGUGCUGAAGAACGCAGACGAGCUGGUGUUACAGAAGUGGUUCACAGAUCUGUCUGUGUCACAGCUCAACCGCCUGCUGGAUCUCCUCUACCUCUGUGUGUCCUGCUUUGAGUAUAAGGGGAAGAAAGCGUUCGAGCGAAUGAACAGCCUGACCUUUAAGAAGUCCAAAGACAUGAAGGCCAAGCUGGAGGAGGCCAUACUGGGCAGCAUCGGGGCCAGACAGGAAAUGGUGCGACGCAGCCGUGGACAGCUAGAGCGGAGUCCAUCUGGCAGCGCUUUUGGCAGUCAGGAGAACCUGCGAUGGAGGAAGGACAUGACCCACUGGAGGCAAAACAGUGAAAAGAUGGACAAGACCAGAGCAGAGCUUGAACAUGAAGCACUUAUCGACGGAAACCUUGCGACAGAGGCCAACAUGAUUAUUCUGGAUACUCUGGAGAUCAUUGUGCAGACGGUGUCAGUGACCGAGUCCAAGGAGAGUAUCCUGGGUGGGGUGCUGAAGGUGUUGCUCCACAGCAUGGCCUGUAACCAGAGCGCCCUCUACCUCCAGCAUUGUUUUGCUACACAGAGGGCGCUCGUGUCCAAGUUUCCUGAACUGCUGUUUGAAGAGGAAACAGAGCAGUGUGCUGACCUGUGUUUGCGGUUGUUGAGGAGCUGCAGCAGCAGUAUAAGCACCAUCAGGGCUCAUGCCAGUGCCUCCCUCUACCUCCUCAUGAGGCAAAACUUUGAGAUCGGCAAUAACUUUGCAAGAGUGAAGAUGCAAGUCACCAUGUCUUUGUCCUCACUGGUGGGAACGUCUCAAAAUUUUAACGAGGAGUUUCUGCGUCGCUCUCUGAAAACCAUCCUCACCUACGCAGAGGAGGACCUGGAGCUGAGGGAGACCACGUUCCCUGAUCAGGUCCAGGACCUUGUGUUUAACCUGCACAUGAUCCUGUCUGACACAGUAAAGAUGAAGGAGCACCAGGAAGACCCUGAGAUGCUGAUAGAUCUCAUGUACAGGAUUGCAAAGGGUUACCAGACAUCCCCAGACCUGCGGCUGACGUGGCUUCAGAACAUGGCCGGAAAACACUCAGAGAGAAACAACCACGCUGAAGCUGCUCAGUGUCUGGUGCACAGUGCGGCUCUGGUGGCAGAAUACCUGAGCAUGCUGGAGGACCGCAAGUACCUGCCAGUGGGCUGUGUCACUUUUCAGAAUAUUUCCUCCAAUGUGCUGGAGGAAUCUGCAGUCUCUGAUGACGUAGUGUCACCUGAUGAGGAGGGCAUUUGCUCAGGGAAGUACUUCACUGAGAUCGGCCUUGUGGGACUCUUGGAGCAAGGUGCUGCCUCUUUUUCUAUGGCGGGCAUGUAUGAGGCUGUGAAUGAAGUGUACAAGGUACUGAUCCCUAUCCAUGAAGCCAACAGGGACGCAAAGAAGCUAGCCACCAUUCAUGGUAAACUACAGGAAGCCUUUGGCAAAAUUGUACAUCAGGUAAACACAAACACACUCAUACGCACACAAAAUGUAAAUCUCCUCUUCCUCCUGAGGCCCCAGAAGAUAAAGGUGCUUUGCUGAGACUGGAUUUAAUAACAAAAGCAAAAAGAGAGAAAAUGAUUUUAUUCCAAUGUGACCUAUAUUUGAUAUUGUUGACAUCUCUGUAGUUGGUACUACUUUUUUUAGUAUCGAUUUUCUCUGUUUUUAAAGUUCUGUGUUAAUCAAAAGUGUAACCGUACAGCAUGCUCUAAGACAGUCACUCAGUAUGAAGACCUGAAAACCUCACAGUCAUAAUAACAUAGCUGUUGUUAAUGUGGGCAGCAUGACGGGUUUAGUCUUCUUUAUUCAGAAUAUUAUACUGAAAUAAUGGAACAAAACUAUGGUCAGGUUCUUCAUCCACAAUACUCUGUAUUAUUUAGUCUUGACACAAACAACACUGUAACACCGUAGGUAACUGAGGUUUAUCCUGCAUAGCCUUCACACUGACAUAGCUCUGCAUGGUUUUAUCGUUAAUGUAUACUUUGUCAGAGACCUUGCAUGCUUUAUUAUAUUUGUAAAGUAUGAAACAGAGGAGGCAUGCGAUGCAGGAGGAGACUCCUGUUGUGGUUUUUCUUAAAAGCCAGUUGUGUGACGUCAAGUUACAGUGUGGGCAGGGUUACAGCUUUCUAGUGGUCAGAGCAACUGCUCUUCCAAAACCAAACAUCUCUUAUGUCAUAUGUCUCGACGCAGUGCAUAGACUUUAUAAAAGAAGUGGAUGGAGCAAUCAUACCAUCACAAAUAGUUUUGGAAACUCCUCUUUUGAAGUCUCAAGUUUGGUGUUUUAGUCUCUUAGAACCUUAAGUGAACAGAUGCAGGCGAUAGGAUGGAGACGCAUUGCUCCAUCUCAUCCCUGAUUGAGCAGCUGCAGCUUAUAAAUCACAGGUAUCCACACCCCAAAUCAUACUAUGCUGCUGUUAUUCUAAAUAAGAACACAAUUUGCAGAAUAAACAUCAAAUCUCAUGAUGUAUUGUAGAAGAUUUGAUACCAAAGAUUCAGACACAAAAUAGCACCAGGAAAACAUUAACUGAGGCAAUAAAUGAAGGGAGAAGGGGAUUCAUUUUUUUAGACUGAUGGGAGUUUCCCCCUGAAGGCCAUUAUAAAAACUACAGAGUAUAGGCACUUAAGUGAUUGCUUUACAUUUGAAAUGAGAGGCUCCAUGCACUUCUUCUAUACAGUCCAAUAAUUAACAUUAGGCCUACUUUAAUUAUUCAGAGGUCAGUUGCUCUGUUCUCCAGCUGGACAGCAAGUAACCUGGUAAAGAGUCCAUCUCAUUGCUGUAACAUCACUGUGUGUGAACUGCCACACUGUGUGGUUUUGUAGGAGGGCUGUUUGUGUGAUGUUGUUCACUUGUCCUGUAUUCUCUUUGUCACAGAGUACUGGCUGGGAGGUAGGUGGCUAAACGGUUCCUGCUUGGCCCUGCUCGAUUUGUUUAUCUCUUGUCCUUUAUUUUAUUUACUCUCAUCUUUUGAUUUGCUAGCUGUGGGCAUUCAGAUGCUCUCUCGGCUUUGUUACAAACAUCCAAUUCAUUAACAUCUGCAGACAAUGUCCGCUGUCUGCCCCCCCUUUGCUGGGGUCACGUUGCCGCACAAGCAGCAACACCCCUCACUGUCUCCCUCUCUCCUCCCUCCUCUUCGUGUGCAAGAGGAGCUUGUUUUCUAUAACGUGACCGAGUUGGCAGGCUGUGCAUGGGAGCCGCAGUGUGUGACACUAAUGACCAAAGUCUCAGAGAAUGCAUCACCUGCACUUCCUCCCCGUCUUCAUCUCCUGUCUGUCUGCUGCUGUGUCGGUCAGAACACCAUCAUUGACUGACACUGUCUGCUGUCACACUUCAUCUCAUCUUCAACCACAGGGCUCGAUUUCGGUGCACUUUUCUUUUAUGCCUAAGGGUAACAUGUUGGACUCUUCACUUUAGUUAUUGGUCAUUCUUCUACAUAACAUUGAAUGAGCCUUUUAAACAGAAGGUGGUGUAGACUUACAUUGGAUCCAAGCUGGAACCAAAUUAACUGAGGUAGUCAGUUUUUUCCCCCAAGAGGGUUCAACUCACAGUAAUCUGAGGAUUACUUGUUUAUCCUUCUGAUUUUGAUCACUUAUGAUUCUUGUUUUUUAAUAGUUCAAACUAAAUCGAUCCCUGAUUUUGUUUCUCAUUCAUCCUUUUCUUUUGUUAAAAGUAUUAACCUCUGAGUUCUCAUGAUUUCUUGCAUGACACACACAGAGCACUCCGUGUUUUUGGAAAUGCACUCAGAGUGCAUGUUGUGCUUCUGGAGGUGAUGGAUCUUUCAUUUCUCACUUUCUUUUUCUCCUCGUAACUGUCUGCCUUUGCAUGGUCUGGAUCCCCCGCACUGAGUUUAUGUUUUCUUCUCUAUCAGUGGAGAUAUGAUUUUGCUGUUGUUUGUUAGUUUGUGUUGUUUUUGAAAUUCUCUGGAGGAACACAAUCCUCAUUAAAAUUUGUUCUGUUUUCUCCUUUUUGAUUUCCCUGGUUGCUGACCCUUCCUUCCCACUUUACUUAAUUGUGUCUUGUGGAUGGAAAGAGGAUGUUUGGUACGUACUUCAGAGUGGGAAUCUACGGUUCAAAGUUUGGCGACUUAGACGAGCAGGAGUUUGUGUACAAAGAGCCGGCCAUCACCAAGCUGGCUGAAAUCUCCCACAGGCUGGAGGGUUUCUACGGGGAGCGGUUUGGAGAGGAACAGGUAGAAGUCAUUAAGGACUCAAACCCAGUGGAUAAGUGCAAGUUGGACCCAAAUAAAGCAUUCAUCCAGAUCACAUACGUCGAGCCGUACUUCGACACGUAUGAGAUGAAGGACCGAAUCACCUACUUUGACAAGAACUACAACCUGAGACGUUUCGUCUACUGCACGCCCUUCACUCUGGACGGGCGGGCUCACGGGGACCUGCACGAGCAGUUCAAACGCAAGACCAUCCUCACUACCUCCCACGCCUUCCCUUACAUCAAGACACGCAUCAACAUCAUCCACAAAGAGGAGAUCAUCUCCACACCCAUCGAGGUUGCAAUAGAAGACAUGCAGAAGAAGACUCAGGAGCUGGCCUUCGCCACUCACCAGGACCCUGCUGAUGCAAAGAUGCUGCAGAUGGUGCUGCAGGGAUCAGUGGGCACAACUGUUAACCAGGGUCCUUUGGAGGUUGCUCAGGUGUUCCUGUCAGAGAUUCCCAGCGACCCAAAACUGUACAGACACCACAAUAAGCUACGACUCUGCUUCAAGGACUUCACCAAGAGGUGUGAAGACGCCCUGCGUAAGAACAAGAGCCUGAUUGGUCCGGACCAGAAGGAGUAUCAGAGGGAGCUGGAGAGGAACUAUCAUCGACUGAAGGAGGCGCUGCAGCCGCUCAUCAACAGAAAGAUCCCUCAGCUUUAUAAACCUGUACUGCAGGUGAACUCACACAGGGAUUCCUUCAGCAGAAUGAGUCUUCGCAAGCUUGAGAUUUGAAGAUGAAGUCCAACACACACACACACACACACGCACACACACACACACACACACACACACGCAGACUCACACACGCACACGCACACGCACUCCACAAACACACACUAGCACAAACACACGCCAGAAAAUUGCAAUAUUAAUUUAUUCUUGAGUGUAUAUAGGAGUGUGUCCAAAGGUGGUCAGUGUUUUGAAGAGCGUGCUAAAAGGAAGGCUAAAAGUGUUACGGCUUGGUACGUCAUUCCAGUGUCUUAAUUUGUUUACAGACAAACUGUUACACAACGAGAGGGACGAACAAGUGGAGCAAACAUUAAACAGAUACCUUGGCAUUUAGAAUUUCUUCUUUGCUGACUGUUAAACAAAUAAACAAGUUUAUCAUUUGAA